AACGAACGCUGGCGGCAUGCCUAACACAUGCAAGUCGAACGAAGGCUUCGGCCUUAGUGGCGCACGGGUGCGUAACGCGUGGGAAUCUGCCCUUUGGUUCGGAAUAACAGCUGGAAACGGCUGCUAAUACCGGAUGAUGACGAAAGUCCAAAGAUUUAUCGCCAGAGGAUGAGCCCGCGUUGGAUUAGGUAGUUGGUGGGGUAAAGGCCUACCAAGCCGACGAUCCAUAGCUGGUCUGAGAGGAUGAUCAGCCACACUGGGACUGAGACACGGCCCAGACUCUUACGGGAGGCAGCAGUGGGGGAUAGUGGACAAUGGGCGCAAGGCUGAUCCAGCAAUGCCGCGUGAGUGAUGAAGGCCGUAGGGUUGUAAAGCUCUUUUAACCGGGAAGAUAAUGACUGUACCGGGAGAAUAAGCCCCGGCUAACUCCGUG
rnacentral:rRNA from 1 species